CAAAAGCCAAACAUCUGUAUUAGGGAGUUUAGAUGUUGGACUUUUGUUCAUUGCUCAAAACAGCUGUCUCUGCUUUGUGUUGCUUAAAUAAUCUAAGAUUAAAUAUUUCAAUGGGAUAUGGCUAGGGAAAAAUGCAGUGAGACCAAUGAUAUUGGCCUAUCUGUUGCUGUUAGUGACAUUGAAUGAUGGCAUAUGAUACAUGGAAUCUGACCUCCAAAUACCCAUAAACAUUACAGCAGAAGUGGGAAACUCAUUGUGAGGCAUUAUCUUAAUAUCUUAAUGGCUUGGGUAGUAUGCUUCUAGUCCAUGGCCUUUUAACCAGAGUUUAGAAAUAAAUCAUUAAUUUUCAUUUGUUAACAAUUUUCUUUUUGGGGUGUGUGUGUGGCUAUUGCGGCCAAAAGGCAGUAAUGUAACAUUUUCAUCAUAUGUAAAUUUUUCUAUGUAACGUUACCAAGUCUAAUCAUUGUUAAUCAUCAUUAUGCCUUCUGCCUAAGAAGACAUAAGUUUUGGUUGUUCUUCUUUUGGUGUUAAAGGCUAUUUGACAUGCUGAUUCCUAAUUGAAAAGGUGUUGCAUGUGAUUGUAUUAAUUCAUAAAAGUCAACCAAUAAUCAGGACUGAAGAGCAAGAUAGAUCCAUGAUCUUGGAUGCACCACAUGGGAGGAAAUACGACAGAAGGAAUGGCAAAAGCAGUUUCUGCACAUGAGCCAUUGCUUGAGGAUAAUUUCUGGGAAUUAUGCCAUUGAGCCAUGUCAACUGGCUUUGUGAAUCAUCUUGGCUGUUUCCUUCCUGCAGUUCUCCUUGGAUAUCUUCUGUUGCACAUAAACAUGGCUACAGUAAAAAUAUACAGUUAAAUGGCAUCUGUAAAGCAGAUUUUGAGCAUGUGGAGUAA
rnacentral:lncRNA from 1 species